UACGUAGGGUGCAAGCGUUGUCCGGAAUUAUUGGGCGUAAAGAGCUCGUAGGCGGUUUGUCGCGUCGGCUGUGAAAUCCCGAGGCUCAACCUCGGGCCUGCAGUCGAUACGGGCAAACUAGAGUGUGGUAGGGGAGACUGGAAUUCCUGGUGUAGCGGUGAAAUGCGCAGAUAUCGGGAGGAACACCGGUGGCGAAGGCGGUUCUCUGGGCCUGUACUGACGCUGAGGAGCGAAAGCGUGGGGAGCGAACAGG
rnacentral:rRNA from 1 species